AGCUUCCAAACCCAGGGCUUGCGCUUGCCUUUGCCUCUUCCACCCAGUCAGGCUGGGUGCGGUGGCUCACACCUGUAAUCCCAGCACUUUGGGAGGCUGAGGCAGGCAGACAACCCGAGCUCAGGAGUUCGAGACCAGCCUGGCCAACAUGGCAAAAACUUGUCUCUACUAAAAAUACAAAAAUAGACAGCUCUUGUGCUAGCCUGGAGAGGCAGAUGAAUACUCAACUUCUGUUUUUCAAUUUCUGGGGCGCCUUGACAGCUUGGGCGAUGCCCCCUUCUACCACCUUCAGAGUAACUGAAUAAGUGACGAAGGGGAAGACCCCAUCCCCUUCCAAAGACCCACCACUUCUCUUGCGGAAGUGGCCACACAUCAUUUUCCUCACUUAGGAAAAUACAAAAUGUUUCAAGAGCCCAUUGCUUCCAGGAAGUUCACAGUGAGCAUAAAAGAAAUAUAGGCUAAAGAAUAAUCCACUGGCUUGUUUCCCUUUUGGCCAGCUCACCACAGGACUCUGGGUUUAUUUGGAGAAUCUGCCAUUGAUAACCUUUUGUUCUUGGUUUGAUAUUAGUGCUAUUAC
rnacentral:lncRNA from 1 species